rnacentral:rRNA from 1 species
CCUACGGGGUGCAGCAGUGAGGAAUAUUGGUCAAUGGACGAGAGUCUGAACCAGCCAAGUAGCGUGAAGGAUGACUGCCCUAGGGGUUGUAAACUUCUUUUAUAUGGGAAUAAAACGUUCCACGUGUGGGAUUUUGUAUGUACCAUAUGAAUAAGGAUCGGCUAACUCCGUGCCAGCAGCCGCGGUAAUACGGAGGAUCCGAGCGUUAUCCGGAUUUAUUUGGUGGAAAGGGAUCGUAGGUGGAUUGUUAAGUCAGUUGUGAAAGUUUGCGGCUCAACCGUAAAAGUGCAGUUGAAACUGGCAGUCUUUAGUACAGUAGAGGUGGGCGGAAUUCGUGGUGUAGCGGUGAAAUGCUUAGAUAGCACGAAGAACUCCGAUUGCGAAGGCAGUUCACUGGACUGCAACUGACACUGAGGCUCGAAAGUGUGGGUAUCAAACAGGAUUAGAUACCCUUGUAGUC